rnacentral:rRNA from 1 species
UCGGGAAUUUUGGGCAAUGGGUGAAAGCCUGACCCAGCAACGCCGCGUGAGGGAUGAAGUAUUUCGGUAUGUAAACCUCGAAAGAAUGGGAAGAAUAAAUGACGGUACCAUUUAUAAGCUCCGGCUAACUACGUGCCAGCAGCCGCGGUAAUACGUAGGGAGCAAGCGUUGUUCGGAUUUACUGGGCGUAAAGGGCGCGUAGGCGGCGCGGUAAGUCACUUGUGAAAUCUCUGAGCUUAACUCAGAACGGCCAAGUGAUACUGCUGUGCUAGAGUGCGGAAGAUGCAUCCGGAAUUCUUGGUGUAGAGGUGAAAUGCGUAGAUAUCGAGAGGAACACCUGAGGCGAAGGCGGGUUGCUGGGCCGACACUGACGCUGAUGCGCGAAAGC